rnacentral:rRNA from 1 species
GACGUAGGUGGCGAACGUUAUCCGGAAUUAUUGGGCGUAAAGGGUGCGUAGGUGGCCUGACAAGUUAUCAGUGGCAAAUCGAGGCUCAACCUCGUGGAAACUGGUAAUACUGUUCGGCUUGAGUACAGGAGAGGUUAACGGAACUCUAUGUGGAGCGGUAAAAUGCACAGAUAUAAUAGAAGAACAUCAAUAAAGGCGAAGGCAGUUAACUAUUCUGUUACUGACGCUGAGGCACGAAAGCGUGGGGAGCAAAACGG